GCUCCCUGGAGGGAGGGCGGCCGGGGGCUGUAUGGCUGUGUGUUGUGACAGGGUGGCGCGUGGCUGAUGGGUGCGAGCCGAGUGUGUGCAUGGACGCGUGAAUGUGAUCGUGCCUGGGGUGUGCAAGGCGAGUGCGUGGCCCCUGUGCUCCUCCCCCCGCCUACACAUUGAUCUUAUUUGAUCGGGUUGUGACCCCAGCCGCUCCGGGCCCACCCGAGAUGAAAAGCUCCCCUCCUGCGAAGCCCCCUCUUCGGGGCGCUGUGCAGCGAGGCCCCUCGGGUGGCGGCACCGCCGUGGCCCCGGAGUCGGUCCUACGGGGCCCGGCGCUCAGAAGUGAUGAAUUGAUCAGAUAGACGAGGCCGGGCUUGUCCCGGGCCGCUGAUUAUCGAGGCGAUUCUGAUCUGA